rnacentral:tRNA from 1 species
GGAGAGGUACGGAAGUGGCUAUAACCGGCUUGCUUGGAGAGCAAGUGUACGCGUAAGCGUACCCAGGGUUCGAAUCCCUGCCUCUCCGCCA